UGUAACAGUAUACUAGAAGGUCCACUCUAUGAUAUUUUGUAUAUAUAACCACAGAAUAUCUAGCUACGCUGAUAUUCUGUGAUAUAACCUUGAGCGAAAGUUUGUUGUUGGUAAAAGACCUCUCUUUACGGAAAAAAUUGUUGGAAUUGAACAACACAAGGAAACUUCUGAAAAUAAUAAAUUUCAUUGUAUAAAAUUUUUGUACAGAUUUGGUAAAUUAAGGAAACCAUAACUUUAACCCUCCAUAACUCCCCGACUAAGAGGUCAACUCCAGAAAUAUCUCACAUGGUGGGGCUCUGGGAUGUCCUUUAUCCAUCUAUAUAAAAAACUUGAUGAAUUAAAUUAUUUGUUUUUUGGGCUAAUGUCCUGCAUUUCCCGAUUUCGUUACACUGUGCGGCGUGCAGAGCGUUGCGAGUAAUUACGCGAGCGGAGCAGAAUGUGGGCGGAGAGGACAACAUUGCGGUAGCACGAGGAGUAGAGCGAUGAGCAGCGCGAGGAGCAUAGUGUGGCAAAGGCAUAACACCGGCUAUAAAUGGUAAUUGAAUUUAUCAAACGAUGUUCAAAUAAUAACGGACACAGUAAUAAUUUUUUGGGGUCUGGUAGACUUUAGCUACGUCAAAAUUUUCUAUAUAGAAUUAAGAAGAGGAACACUUAUAAUGACAUUUUCUAACGAAAAAAGUGCGGAUCGUCCAUAAAUAACACCAAAAACAAACCCCCC